rnacentral:lncRNA from 1 species
ACAGAUUAACCCAUUUAGACAAAACAUCUCAAAUUCUUAUCCAUUUCAUUGACACCAAAAACAAAAGCAAAUGUGUUCUUUUUUUUUCUUUUUCUUUUUCUCUCACCUUCCUAUACUUCUUCUCACAAUGGCUCCCAUGCCUUCACCUUGAGGCCUAGCCAAGAACUUUCUCACCACUGAGCGAGGUUCUUUCACAACAACAUCAGAGUUCUCUUUCUCAGGCAUUUUGCUUUUUUUUUUUUUAAUUUUCCUUAUCUCAAUGAAUCUCGAAGCAAAUUUAUGCAACAACUUUUAAUUUUCCUUAUCUCAAUGAAUCUCGAAGAACAACAUCAGAGUUCUCUUUCUCAGGCAUUUUGCUUUUUUUUUUUUUAAUUUUCCUUAUCUCAAUGAAUCUCGAAGCAAAUUUAUGCAACAACUUUUUUAUGCAGCGAAUGUGAGAAAGAGAACGAGAAAGUUUCGAGUAUAUAUAGGGAGAAAAAGAGAGAGAGAGAGAGAGAUAAGAGUUUGUUAAUGAAUUUGGAAGG